GGGGACCUUCGGGCCUCGCGCUAUCAGAUGAGCCUAGGUCGGAUUAGCUAGUUGGUGGGGUAACGGCUCACCAAGGCGACGAUCCGUAACUGGUCUGAGAGGAUGAUCAGUCACACUGGAACUGAGACACGGUCCAGACUCCUACGGGAGGCAGCAGUGGGGAAUAUUGGACAAUGGGCGAAAGCCUGAUCCAGCCAUGCCGCGUGUGUGAAGAAGGUCUUCGGAUUGUAAAGCACUUUAAGUUGGGAGGAAGGGCAGUUACCUAAUACGUAUCUGUUUUGACGUUACCGACAGAAUAAGCACCGGCUAACUCUGUG
rnacentral:rRNA from 1 species